GAUAAAAAGGAAACAAAGGAAAGAAGCGAAGACAAGCAUCACUUUGGUAUCAAUCAUUGGUGAUUAUUUCAGACUAAUGGAAUUUAAAAAGGACACAGGAAAACUGGAAAAGUGAAAUCGACUUGAACAUGACAUUUUCUUUAAUGUAGAAAGAGCUCUUUUGUAUCAAUAAAUAAUAUAUUUCAGAUUUUUA